GCCCCUCUGCUCAGCAACCCAUGUGAGUGUUUCCUCCCUCCCCUGUCUGGGGUAAGGUGCAGGGCUCACAUGUAGUAUGAAGGUUGCAUUUUGGGCAUUUGGUCUCUAAAAUAUUCACCAUUAUUCUCUUCACCCUAACUGCUCUUCUGUUUUGGAAUACAUACUUAGUAUCAAAUCUAAAACAGAAGGUAAGGAUUUUUAAAAUAAAUUAAUGAUUGUUGACUGAUACAUUGUUAUCAAAGUAUCUAGACAAAGUAAGUAUAUUGGGCCUAUUUAUCUUAGUACUCUGAGUUUUUAGUAUAUUCAAUAAUUUGAACUGAAUUAAUUAGAAUCACAAGAGACAAUACUGUGGAAGGGAAAUAAUAUUGGACUAAUAAUGCUAAUGGAUAGUGAUAUCUGAAGAAAUAGUCUUUGUGUUUCAGUCAUUUUAGAAGUAGCCACAAAGUUAGAAAAUAGAGUUAAGGCAUGCUAUUUAUUGACCUUAGUUAAAAUUUCCAUUUACCAACAAAGUGUGAAGAUCUAUUCCCAAUAAUCCUCAAUUAACUUCUGUCACACAUGAGAAAGUUUUUACUGCAAAUUUCUCUGAUAAAGGACUCAUUUUCUACUGGUGAAAAUUUAUAAGAAUAAGAAUCACUUUCUCAAUUGAUAUGUGGCCAAAGGAUAUGAAUAAGCAUUUCUCAAAGGAAGACAUUCAAGCAGCAUAGGAAAAAAUGCUCCAAAUCACUAAUGCAGAAAUGUAAAUUAAAGCAACUUUGAGGCCCCAUCUCCUACCCAUCAGAUUUGCAUAGAAAAGGGAAAAUGACAAAUGCUGGGGGAGGGAGGGGAAGGGAGAAGGAAAUAGGCACAGUAAUGCACUAAUUGUAGAGUUGAGAAUUAGUCUGGCCAAUCUGGAAAAUAAUUGUGUUCUGCUCCCAAAGUCACUAACUAUGUACACCUUUUGUCCCAGUCAUAGUUUCCUAGGUCUAUAUGCCAAAAAAAAAAAAAAAAAAAAAAAAAAAAAAAAAAGUUGUGGUGUUUAGAUUUGGGAAAUAGGAGUCCCUUUUUAUGUAUAUAUAUAUAUAUAAACCUAGCAGAAUGAUUUAGUAAGCAUUUAACUCCCUUCUCCCUCAGCCAAAAAAAAAAUUCUUAUAUUGUGAAACUUUUGAUGCAUCUGUGCUAUUAUUAAUCGGGGGCAGUGGGGCAUUCCUUCCAGUGGUUUUGAUUAUAACCUUCCCAUGCUUUCUCAUCCUGUGUGUUUCUUGCCCAUGUAUUUAUUUCUACAUUUCCUCUGUAGAACAUCUGGCCAAGACCUUUCUCUAGAUUUU
rnacentral:lncRNA from 1 species